rnacentral:misc_RNA from 1 species
GCCGCGGCCGAUCUGGCGAAAGUCGAGCUCCGCGGUGUCGGCAAAAUGCUGCACGAUGCGCGCUUCGUCUUCGGUGCCCCUGAAUUCACGGCCGACCUGGCGUUUCGCGAUCAGGUGAAAGUCGUCUUUUGGGAUGCCGCUGUUGUUUGUCCCAUGGGCCGGCGAAAACUCCGGCGGCAAGUCGAUCGU